UGAAAUAACCCAUUAAAGCACAGAAAAGCAGAGAUAACCUCUCGUACCUUUUGCAUCAUGAUUCAGCAAGUUAACUCAAGCGAAGAGCACUCUAGUUUGCACCCCCGAAACUUGACGAGCUACUCCGAGACAGCCAACUAUGGGCCAACCCGUCUCUGUGGCAAAAGAGUGGGAAGAUCUCCGAGUAGAGGCAAAAAACCUACCGAGCCAAGUUAUAGCUGGUUGCCCAAUAAAUGAAUACAAGUUCAGCCCUGCCUAGCCCGACUCACACCAGUUUUACGAAAAAAGACAAAGAGCUCACUCGCAGGAGUUAAUCAGAGGAGGUACAGCUCCCCUGAUACAGGAUACAACCUUUUUAGGAGACAAAAGAAUAUUGCCAAACAAGGCCUUGGGUCUCAGUGGGCCUGAAAGCAGCCAUCUGAUCUGAAAGCGUUAAAGCUCCGGCCAAAAGAAAGCCUUUUAUUUAAUCUUAAUAUCUGCUCCCCUAAACCUUAUUGGGCCUCUCCAUGCAUCCAUGGAAGAGACUAUGCUGGAACGAGUAACAAGAAGAAUGAACUUCUCCACGCACAAGUGUAUGUCAAAUUGGACCAACCAUCGACAAUCAACGAACCCAACAAAAGAGGGCCCUACACACCCGCCACCUCUGACCAAGAAAACUAUGUUCCCCAGAAUCGUUGCCCCGACACAGGAGUGCCAGAACAAGGAAAGACUUAAAGAAAAAAAAGGAACUCGGCAAACCCAGACCUCGCCUGUUUACCAAAAACAUCGCUCUUGCAUUCCAAAGUAUAAGAGUCCCACCUGCCCUGUGACUCUAAGUUUAACGGCCGCGGUAUUCUAACCGUGCGAAGGUAGCGCAAUCAAUUGCCUUUUAAAUGAAGGCCUGUAUGAAUGGUAUAACGAGGGUCUAGCUGUCUCUUUUUUCUAGUCAGUUAAACUGAUCUGUCCGUGCAGAAGCGGACAUAAAUAUACAAGACGAGAAGACCCUAUGGAGCUUUAGACACUAGCCAACUGUGAAUAAGCGACUGAACUGAACAAGUCCUAAAUACCCGCAGCCUUAUGGUGAUGUAGUCUUAGGUUGGGGCGACCACGGGAGAAAGUAAAGCUCCCAAGCAGACCGGGAAAACCCUUAAGCCGAGAGUUGCAACUCUAAGCCGCAAAAUUUUUGACUGAAAUGAUCCGGUUGAAAAACCGAUUAACGAACCAAGUUACCCUAGGGAUAACAGCGCAAUCCUCUCCCAGAGUCCCUAUCGACGAGGGGGUUUACGACCUCGAUGUUGGAUCAGGACAUCCUAAUGGUGCAGCCGCUAUUAA
rnacentral:rRNA from 1 species